AUUGAACGCUGGCGGCAUGCUUUACACAUGCAAGUCGAACGGUAACAGGCCGCGAGGUGCUGACGAGUGGCGAACGGGUGAGUAAUGCAUCGGAACGUGCCCAGUCGUGGGGAUAACGCAGCGAAAGCUGUGCUAAUACCGCAUACGAUCUAAGGAUGAAAGCGGGGGACCGUAAGGCCUCGCGCGAUUUGAGCCGCCGAUGUCAGAUUAGGUAGUUGGUGGGGUAAAGGCCCACCAAGCCAACGAUCUGUAGCUGGUCUGAGAGGACGACCAGCCACACUGGGACUGAGACACGGCCCAGGCUCCUACGGGAGGCAGCAGUGGGGAAUUUUGGACAAUGGGCGCAAGCCUGAUCCAGCAAUGCCGCGUGCAGGAAGAAGGCCUUCGGGUUGUAAACUGCUUUUGUACGGAACGAAACGGUCUGGGUUAAUACCUCGGGCUAAUGACGGUACCGUAAGAAUAAGCACCGGCUAACUACGUGCCAGCCGCCGCCGUAAUAC
rnacentral:rRNA from 1 species